CGAAGCGUGCGAUUGGAUUGCACGUCUAAGCAGUAAGGCUGAGUAUUAGGCAAAUCCGGUACUCGUUAAGGCUGAGCUGUGAUGGGGAGAAGACAUUGUGUCUUCGAGUCGUUGAUUUCACACUGCCGAGAAAAGCCUCUAGAUAGAAAAUAGGUGCCCGUACCGCAAACCGACACAGGUAGUCAAGAUGAGAAUUCUAAGGUGAGCGAGCGAACUCUCGUUAAGGAACUCGGCAAAAUGACCCCGUAACUUCGGGAGAAGGGGUGCUCUUUAGGGUUAACGCCCAGAAGAGCCGCAGUGAAUAGGCCCAAGCGACUGUUUAUCAAAAACACAGGUCUCUGCUAAACCGUAAGGUGAUGUAUAGGGGCUGACGCCUGCCCGGUGCUGGAAGGUUAAGAGGAGUGGUUAGCUUCUGCGAAGCUACGAAUCGAAGCCCCAGUAAACGGCGGCCGUAACUAUAACGGUCCUAAGGUAGCGAAAUUCCUUGUCGGGUAAGUUCCGACCCGCACGAAAGGCGUAACGAUUUGGGCACUGUCUCAACGAGAGACUCGGUGAAAUCAUAGUACCUGUGAAGAUGCAGGUUACCCGCGACAGGACGGAAAGACCCCGUGGAGCUUUACUGUAGCCUGAUAUUGAAAUUCGGCACAGCUUGUACAGGAUAGGUAGGAGCCUUUGAAACGUGAGCGCUAGCUUACGUGGAGGCGCUGGUGGGAUACUACCCUAGCUGUGUUGGCUUUCUAACCCGCACCACUUAUCGUGGUGGGAGACAGUGUCAGGCGGGCAGUUUGACUGGGGCGGUCGCCUCCUAAAAGGUAACGGAGGCGCUCAAAGGUUCCCUCAGAAUGGUUGGAAAUCAUUCAUAGAGUGUAAAGGCAUAAGGGAGCUUGACUGCGAGACCUACAAGUCGAGCAGGGUCGAAAGACGGACUUAGUGAUCCGGUGGUU
rnacentral:rRNA from 1 species